CCCUUCAAACCCUUCAAUAUGGUUGCUCUGGCACUGCACACCCGUCUCACUGUGGAUACCUCGUGGCCGUGUUGGGGCCGAUCAUGAUGGUGGUUGUCAUCAUCGACACCUGCAUUUGGCCAUCAAUGGUGAAUGACGGCAAAGUAUAUUUUGACGGGAAGUUUAUAAAUAAAGCCGGUAGCCCUCUGCCUGAAAAAACUGUUGUGGAGAUAAUAGCCAAAAUUACCAAAUAUGUAUGUAGGUGACAGUUCUAUUUACUUGAAAUAAUGUCUCAGCUGCAACUUUGGUGGAACUGUAUUGUCGUUUGGCUUUUUUACAUCAACACAGAACUGGACAGAAGUUGGAAACAACUUGGUGGUGAUACUACUGGUAAAGUAGCUCUUGAUUCUGAGCUGUCAACUGGAGGAUUUACUGGCUGCUUACUUCAUUAUGGUGCAUCACAUGUUUAUGGAGUUGGCAUAGGUUAUGGACAAGUAACUUGUUAGAUAAUUCAAGUUUCUUUUGGUUAUGUUAAGAAAUAGACUCUAAGUUUAAUUCAACUCCACAAAAUCGGUUUAUAAGGUGAAGUUUGUAUUCAUUUAUAUAUUAUAAAUUGGUCUUAUUACUAGUCGGUGAGACUUCCAACAUAUCUUCUCUCAUGUUAAGGUAUAUGCAUAUCGAGCGUGGAAUUAGACAUUAAUGGAUGGUCCAGAAGUGGGUGAAACAAUAUGUCUAACAAAUAAUAAAUUUUGCUAGGAUAGACUCUAAAUAUGUCAAACAAAUAACAAAUUUUGUUAGGAUAGACUCUAACCAAACUCUGAUACUAUGUUGAGAAAUGAACUUUAAAUCUAAUUAUAUUGAUGCUGCUAGUGAAGCUAUAUUAAUAUUUUUUUUUCCUUUUGUUAAAUGCAAACCCAACUAUGUGGUUUUUCCUUAAUAUUUCUUUAGUUUUGUGUCUAAGGUUUCUUAUAUUCAUUGUUUGUGUUGACUGUUUAGUUAUGCAGUUAUUCCUUAGAGGCUUAACUUGCAUAGCACAGUACUUUUAUUUUGUUACACUUUUUUUUUGGACUUAUUUUUAUUAGUUAUGCCUUGGAUUAAUAAUGAUUGUCUGGCCAAACCUACGACUUUCGAUUCUAAUGAUGAAUAUAUCUUAAGUUUUGAGCACCCAUUUUGUCUGUAUCUGCUCUCUUGGUAUAAUGGCCUUCAACUACACCGCUACUUCUUUUGGGGUUGAUCGUUAUGCCUUAUGGUCUAGGAUUAGGCACACUGGAUCGUACUCUGGUAUCAUUCCGUUAUGUAAAAUAGCUUACAUUCCAGAGGUAUUAGAGAAUGACUGCUGCAAUCUUUUCUUUGUCUGUAUAUGUACGCAUAUAUUACUGUCUCAAGGUAUGAACUCCAAUUGUUAAUAAUGAAUUCAUAAAGUGCCCGGGUCAUUUAUUUUUGGGGUCGACUACAGCUGGUGCAGGCAUAAUUCCUAAUUCUUUUAGCCAUAAAUUUCCUCCUCGGUGCUUUUUAUGACAAGCAAUAUCUUUUAUCUGUAAAUAAAACUUAAUGUAUAUUCAGCUGCUCAAUGAUAUAAAAUAUGAAUUGUUUUAUUAAUAAAUAUACACUUCUAUUCAUCUUUUAAGGGUAAGAGAAAGAAAUGUUGCUAUAUAUUUGUGCCUAGACUCCCAAAAUCUUGAUUUGGUGAUUUUAGACCUCUCAUUCAUCUCUAUUCUCUGGGUAAGUUCUGAAAUAUUGUCAAACAUAGUCCUACACUCCUAUCACAAGUAAAAUAUUUCAGAUUAUCAGAAAAGUUUAUGAUCACGAUCUUGUCUCCUAUGUCUAUUGAUUAUUAAGUGCUCGGUCAUCUUUGUAAGCAACCACAGAAGAGUAAGAGGAGACAUUGGAGAUUAUUUUCGCUGAACUGAGAAUUACUGGAAAAUGCAGCAUUAGUGACUUUGAUUAAGCCACAAUUUGAAGCUCGUAGAUUUCAAGUAAGAAAAGGAGGGAUAGUGAAAGAUCCUAUUGUCCAUCAAGAG